rnacentral:rRNA from 1 species
AACGCUAGCUACAGGCUUAACACAUGCAAGUCGAGGGGCAGCAUAAAAGUAGCAAUACUUUGGUGGCGACCGGCGCACGGGUGAGUAACACGUAUCCAACCUGCCGAUAACUCCGGAAUAGCCUUUCGAAAGAAAGAUUAAUACCGGAUGGCAUAAUUAUUCCGCAUGGGAUAAUUAUUAAAGAAUUUCGGUUGUCGAUGGGGAUGCGUUCCAUUAGGCAGUUGGCGGGGUAACGGCCCACCAAACCUACGAUGGAUAGGGGUUCUGAGAGGAAGGUCCCCCACAUUGGAACUGAGACACGGUCCAAACUCCUACGGGAGGCAGCAGUGAGGAAUAUUGGUCAAUGGACGAGAGUCUGAACCAGCCAAGUAGCGUGAAGGAUGACUGCCCUAUGGGUUGUAAACUUCUUUUAUACGGGAAUAAAGUGAGCCACGUGUGGCUUUUUGUAUGUACCGUAUGAAUAAGGAUCGGCUAACUCCGUGCCAGCAGCCGCGGUAAUACGGAGGAUCCGAGCGUUAUCCGGAUUUAUUGGGUUUAAAGGGAGCGUAGGCGGGUUGUUAAGUCAGUUGUGAAAGUUUGCGGCUCAACCGUAAAAUUGCAGUUGAUACUGGCGACCUUGAGUGCAACAGAGGUAGGCGGAAUUCGUGGUGUAGCGGUGAAAUGCUUAGAUAUCACGAAGAACUCCGAUUG